rnacentral:rRNA from 1 species
UACGUAGGCAGCGAGCGUUGUUCGGAGUUAUUGGGCGUAAAGAGCGUGUAGGCGGCCAGGUAGGUCAGCUGUGAAAACUCGAGGCUCAACCUCGAGACGUCGGUUGAAACCACCUGGCUAGAGUCCGGAAGAGGAGAGUGGAAUUCCUGGUGUAGCGGUGAAAUGCGCAGAUAUCAGGAGGAACACCAGCGGCGAAGGCGGCGCUCUGGGCCGGUACUGACACUGAGGAGCGAAAGCGUGGGUAGCAAACAGG